UACGUAGGGCGCAAGCGUUAUCCGGAAUUUAUUGGGCGUAAAAGAGCUCGUAGGCGGUUUGUCGCGUCUGCCGUGAAAGUCCGGGGCUCAACUCCGGAUCUGCGGUGGGUACGGGCAGACUAGAGUGAUGUAGGGGGAGACUGGAAUUCCUGGUGUAGCGGUGAAAUGCGCAGAUAUCAGGAGGAACACCGGUGGCGAAGGCGGGAUCUCUGGGCCGGUACCGACGCUGAGGAGCGAAAGCGUGGGGGAGCGAACAGG
rnacentral:rRNA from 1 species